rnacentral:rRNA from 1 species
GAAGAGAUCAAUUGGGAAGAAGAAAUUCAAUUUGAUCCAGGUAAAAGAAGAAGCAUAGAUGAGUACCAUCCGAAUCAGAGAGAUAUGGUAAGAAGGAAGUAUUUGACCAAUGGCCCUUCUCAACCUCGUACUGCUCAUUUUGAAGUGACAGAAAUAUGUGGUAAAGAUAGAAGGUUCGUUCGCGAAUGGAUUGAUGAGUUUGAGAUCUGGACCGCGCAAGAAGAAAGAAGCUGGAUAUGAUGCAUUUGUUGCAAAUGGUUGGUCAAGUUGGAAAAAAUAUAGAUUAAGGGAGCAUGUUGGAGAUAUCAAUAGUGCUCACAACCAAGCAAAAAGAGAUUGUGAUGCUUUGCUGAAACAAAAG